rnacentral:rRNA from 1 species
UAGCGUAGGGUGCGAGCGUUGUCCGGAAUUACUGGGCGUAAAGAGCUCGUAGGUGGUUUGUCGCGUUGUCCGUGAAAACUCACAACUCAAUUGUGGGCGUGCGGGCGAUACGGGCAGACUGGAGUACUGCAGGGGAGACUGGAAUUCCUGGUGUAGCGGUGGAAUGCGCAGAUAUCAGGAGGAACACCGGUGGCGAAGGCGGGUCUCCUGGGCAGUAACUGAGCUGAGGAGCGGAAAGCCGUGGGGAGCGAACAG